UAACCCUGAGGCGUGAUGACGAGUCACUACGGUGAUGAAGUAGUUGAUGCCAAGCUUCCAGGAAAAGCCUCUAAGCUCUAGGUAACAUUGAAUCGUACCCCAAACCGACACAGGUGGUCAGGUAGAGAAUACCAAGGCGCUUGAGAGAACUCGGGUGAAGGAACUAGGCAAAAUGGUGCCGUAACUUCGGGAGAAGGCACGCUGGCGCGUAGGUGAAGUCCCUUGCGGAUGGAGCUGAAGCCAGUCGAAGAUACCAGCUGGCUGCAACUGUUUAAUAAAAACACAGCACUGUGCAAACACGAAAGUGGACGUAUACGGUGUGACGCCUGCCCGGUGCUGGAAGGUUAAUUGAUGGGGUCAGCCGCAAGGCGAAGCUCUUGAUCGAAGCCCCAGUAAACGGCGGCCGUAACUAUAACGGUCCUAAGGUAGCGAAAUUCCUUGUCGGGUAAGUUCCGACCUGCACGAAUGGCGUAAUGAUGGCCAGGCUGUCUCCACCCGAGACUCAGUGAAAUUGAACUCGCUGUGAAGAUGCAGUGUACCCGCGGCAAGACGGAAAGACCCCGUGAACCUUUACUAUAGCUUGACACUGAACAUUGAGCCUUGAUGUGUAGGAUAGGUGGGAGGCUUUGAAGCGUGGACGCCAGUCUGCGUGGAGCCAACCUUGAAAUACCACCCUUUAAUGUUUGAUGUUCUAACUCCGGUCCCUAAUCGGGAUUGAGGACAGUGUCUGGUGGGUAGUUUGACUGGGGCGGUCUCCUCCUAAAGAGUAACGGAGGAGCACGAAGGUUAGCUAAUCACGGUCGGACAUCGUGAGGUUAGUGCAAUGGCAUAAGCUAGCUUGACUGCGAGAGUGACGGCUCGAGCAGGUACGAAAGUAGGUCAUAGUGAUCCGGUGGUUCUGAAUGGAAGGGCCAUCGCUCAACGGAUAAAAGGUACUCCGGGGAUAACAGGCUGAUACCGCCCAAGAGUUCAUAUCGACGGCGGUGUUUGGCACCUCGAUGUCGGCUCAUCACAUCCUGGGGCUGAAGUAGGUCCCAAGGGUAUGGCUGUUCGCCAUUUAAAGUGGUACGCGAGCUGGGUUUAGAACGUCGUGAGACAGUUCGGUCCCUAUCUGCCGUGGGCGUUGGAAGAUUGAGAGGGGCUGCUCCUAGUACGAGAGGACCGGAGUGGACGCAUCACUGGUGUUCGGGUUGUCAUGCCAAUGGCAUUGCCCGGUAGCUAAAUGCGGAAAAGAUAAGCGCUGAAAGCAUCUAAGCGCGAAACUUGCCUCGAGAUGAGUCUUCCCUGAGACCUUGAGUCUCCUAAAGGAACGUUUAAGACUAAGACGUUGAUAGGCUGGGUGUGUAAGCGUAGCGAUACGUUGAGCUAACCAGUACUAAUGAUCCGUGAGGCUUAACCUU
rnacentral:rRNA from 1 species